UACGUAGGGUGCAAGCGUUGUCCGGAAUUAUUGGGCGUAAAGAGCUCGUAGGCGGUCUGUCGCGUCGGCUGUGAAAUCCCGAGGCUCAACCUCGGGUCUGCAGUCGAUACGGGCAAACUGGAGUGUUGCAGGGGAGACUGGAAUUCCUGGUGUAGCGGUGAAAUGCGCAGAUAUCAGGAGGAACACCGGUGGCGAAGGCGGGUCACUGGACUGGUACUGACGCUGAGGCGCGAAAGCGUGGGGGAGCAAACAGG
rnacentral:rRNA from 1 species